GCGGGUAUAGUACAUCGGUAGUACGACACCUUGCCAUGGUGUAGAGACGGGUUCGAUUCCCGUUACCCGCUCCC
rnacentral:tRNA from 1 species